GCUCAAAUUUGAAAUCUAGCACUUUCAGUGUUCGAGUUGUAAUUUGAAGAAGGUAACUUUGGAGUUGGCUCUUGUCUAUGUUCCUUGGAACAGGACGUCACAGAGGGUGAGAAUCCCGUGCGAUGAGAUGUCCAACUCUAUGUAAAGUGCUUUCGAAGAGUCGAGUUGUUUGGGAAUGCAGCUCUAAGUGGGUGGUAAAUUCCAUCUAAAGCUAAAUAUUGGCGAGAGACCGAUAGCGAACAAGUACAGUGAUGGAAAGAUGAAAAGAACUUUGAAAAGAGAGUGAAAAAGUACGUGAAAUUGUUGAAAGGGAAGGGCUUGAGAUCAGACUUGGUAUUUUGCGUUCCCUUCCUUUUUGGUUGGGUUCCUCGCAGUUUACUGGGCCAGCAUCGGUUUGGAUGGUAGGAUAAUGACAUUGGAAUGUAGCUUUACUUCGGUGAAGUGUUAUAGACUUUGUUGAUACUACCUAUCUAGACCGAGGACUGCGUCUUUGACUAGGAUGCUGGCGUAAUGAUCUUAAGCCGCCCGUCUUGAAACACGGACC
rnacentral:rRNA from 1 species